rnacentral:rRNA from 1 species
AGCAGCCGCGGUAAUUCCAGCUCCAAUAGCGUAUAUUAAAGUUGUUGCAGUUAAAAAGCUCGUAGUUGAAUUUCGGGGUCAAUAUAUUGGUCAUGCUUAGGUAUGUACUGGUAUUAUUGAUUUCUCCCUUCUGAAGAACCAUGAUGUCAUUAAUUUGAUGUCGUGGGGAAUCAGGACUGUUACUUUGAAAAAUUAGAGUGUUUAAAGCAGGCUUUCGCUUGAAUACAUUAGCAUGGAAUAAUGAAAUAGGACGUUUGAUUCUAUUUUGUUGGUUUCUAGGAUCGACGUAAUGAUUAAUAGGGAUAGUUGGGGGCAUUAGUAUUCAAUUGUCAGAGGUGAAAUUCUUGGAUUUAUCGAAGACUAACUACUGCGAAAGCAUUUGCCAAGGAUGUUUUCAUUAAUCAAGAACGAAAGUUAGGGGAUCGAAGACGAUCAGAUACCGUCGUAGUCUUAACCAUAAACUAUGCC